UGCCAGCAUCCGCUGUACUCCUGAUUGGGUUAUCGUUGUUUGGAAUUACUGGGCGUAAAGCGUACGUAGGCGGAUUAAUAAGUUAGAGGUGAAAUCCCCGGAGCUUAACUCCGGAACUGCCUUCAAUACUACUAAUCUUGAGUUCGGAAGAGGUGAGUGGAAUUCCUAGUGUAGAGGUGAAAUUCGUAGAUAUUAGGAAGAACAUCAGUGGCGAAGGCGACUCACUGGUCCGAUACUGACGCUGAGGUGCGAAAGCGUGGGGAGCAAACAGGAUUAGAUA
rnacentral:rRNA from 1 species